AGAGGUAUUCCUGGUGCAUUUAGGCCUCGCCUUCCUACGAAACCUGGUGCCAGAAGUUUCCAGUGGAAGCGAGAUGCUAAAGGCAUCCCAGCUGAGAGGGGGGCUCUAGUCUCAGGGAGCACUCUUGUGUCCCCUACUGGCAGGAGUCUCACCUAUGUCCGAACAGAGCCUAAAACCUGAUGAGAAUUCGGUUACCACUUUAUAGAACAAUGCAUAUUUUCCUUUGCCCAAAUGUUCACUCGUCAGAUUGCGUUGGAAUGUACCAAUCGUGACUGCAGCGAAGAGAGAUGGAAAUUUGUGAAUAGCAAGAGAGAUUCUCUUGCUUGUUAGAGUAUCGAUCUUUUGUAUUUGGUGAAGGAUGUGCCUGAAUUGGUGGAAAUGUAAAGGAGUGGAGUGACAUGGAAGAGUGUCUUUAGCAAAUAUUUUAUUCUUCAUGGGGCUGGGGUUUUUGACAAAUGCAAUGGGGAAGAGACAAGGGACUCUGGCUGCCAAGUUUUCUGGUCCCUGAGUGAUUUAUACCAUUAGAUGGAAAUUUGUGAAUAGGAUGGAUGACGCAGUG
rnacentral:misc_RNA from 1 species